CGGGGCCCCGCGGUUUUGUUUGGUGCGGAGACGCGGUAAAAGAGAGCAAGCCCAGCUUCCGUCCUGAGAGGACUAGGGAGGCCUGCGGUAGGGCUCUGGACUACAUUUCCCAGAGGCGCCCAAGUCGACAACAGCAACACAUUCUUUGGACUGAAUUUCUUCUACAGUGGAACCAAGAAGAGGAUUAAUUAAUACAUUCAAUUCUAAAAUAAGCCAUGGCCGAUGGGUUGGUGUUGUUCAGAGAUAGGUCUAUAGAUGUCUCUCAAGAAGAAUGGGAAUGCCUGAACCCUGCACAGAGGAAUUUGUACAAAGAUGUGAUGUUGGAGAACGACAGCAACUUGGUUUCACUUGGUAAAGUUACCUAACAGAUAAGAAUGUCUCUACCAACUCAUUGAGAAUUUCUUAGAAUGUCUGCUCUCUCCCUUGUGAAUUUUAGGGAUAGCUUUCAGUUAACUAGAUACAAAUUUCCUUUGGGUAGAAAUGAGCACAAUUAGAUGAAGUUGAACUUUCAAUUUCCCUAUCCUCACUUAUUCUGGUCCUUUCUUAUAGUAAUUUUUUUCCUUGAUGACUAAUGGAUAGAAUUAAAAUGCUGCAUUGUUAAAGCAUAACAUUGUCAAAGAAGCCAGGCUUUGUCUUUUAUUUCCACUGUGCUAUACCUGCCAGUGCACAGCAUAGAACACUAACCACAUAGAUCCCAAAUGUGAAGCUCUUUGGCUUUUCCAAUUAAUGCAGUGGUAGGCUGGGUCAAUAAAAGUCAUUUACUAUUUAUAGAUCAAAUGGACACUAUCUCAUUUUCUAUAACAAAUGUACUUUCUUUUACAUAAUUUGCCUUUGGAAGUUUCAUUCUAAGAAUUCACAUUUAAUGUUAAAAAUAUCUGAAAAAAAAUCUCAGGAAAUUUUUUUCUUAUAGAAAAAUAAGAAGACAGAAAGGUUAUUUAAAUUUUAGUAUUUCUUUGUUUCUUAUAAUCUUGAACUUACCUGAAUGGGAUAAAUUAAAUUUAUCCUUUAAUUUUUCUUCUACGGACCUGUGAUUUAUUUUUAUGUAAAUCAUCUCUGAGUCGCUGUGUUUGGGUACUAUCAUUUCCAUCUCAUUUCAAUUUCUUUUCUUAU